GACGAACGCUGGCGGCGUGCUUAACACAUGCAAGUCGAACGGAAAGGCCCUGCUUGCAGGGUGCUCGAGUGGCGAACGGGUGAGUAACACGUGGGUGAUCUGCCCCUUACUUUGGGAUAAGCCCGGGAAACUGGGUCUAAUACUGGAUAGGACCAUGCUGUAGGUGGUGUGGUGGAAAGAUUAGUUUCGGUAAGGGAUGAGCUCGCGGCCUAUCAGCUUGUUGGUGGGGUAAUGGCCUACCAAGGCGUCGACGGGUAGCCGGCCUGAGAGGGUGGACGGCCACAUUGGGACUGCGACACGGCCCAGACUCCUACGGGAGGCAGCAGUGGGGAAUAUUGCACAAUGGGCGCAAGCCUGAUGCAGCGACGCCGCGUGGGGGGCGACGGCCUUCGGGUUGUAAACUCCUUUCAGCCAUGACGAAGCCCUUGUGGUGACGGUAGUGUUAGAAGAAGCACCGGCUAACUACGUG
rnacentral:rRNA from 1 species